UGUUAUUGUUGUUGUUGUUGUUGUUAUUAAAGCGGCGAGCUGGCAUAAACAUUAGUACGCCGAGCGAAAAGCCUAGCGGUAUUUCGUCCGCCUUUACGUACUGAGUUCAAAUUCCGCCGAGGUCGACUUUGCCUUUCAUUCUUUCGGGGUCGAUAAAUUAAGUACCAAUUACGCACUGAGGUCGAUGUAGUCGACU